rnacentral:rRNA from 1 species
UGCGUAGGUGGUCCGUUAAGUUCGUUGUGAAAGCCCUGGGCUCAACCCAGGAACUGCUUCGAAUACUGGCGGACUUGAGGCUAGUAGGGGUCACUGGAACUGACGGUGGAGCGGUGAAAUGCGUAGAUAUCGUCAGGAACGCCAAUGGUGAAGACAGGUGACUGGGCUAGUUCUGACACUGAGGCACGAAAGCGUGGGGAGCGAACGGGAUUAGAUACCCCGGUAGUCCACGCCCUAAACGAUGCAGACUAGACUGCAGCGGGUUACACCCCGUUGCGGUCGGAGCGAAAUUGUUAAGUCUGCCACCUGGGAAGUACGGUCGCAAGGCUAAA